UAGAACACAACAAAAAGCUACAACAACAACAAAAUUCUGAAGAUACAAUCCCAUGCUGCAAUGGGAUUGAGUGCGUAUAGCUGGGCAGGUAAAUAAGUGACAUACAGUGGGAUUAGAAAAAAUUAGUGCUAAUUAGUCUGUCAAUUGUGCACGGAUACAGAUAUCUUUAAUGGUAAUAAAGUGUCCGUAGCCGCCACAUGGCCAAAUAGAAA
rnacentral:sRNA from 1 species